AGUUCAGUACAUAGGCAUACGGAGGGGAGUCCCACGUCAGCGGGCCGAGUGUCAAGGCUCUGGGAGAAUGCAUGAGACUGGCAACAUCGCCAUGGCCAUUUUUUGAAAAAUACAAUCUGCUCCAGAGGGGUUGGAAAAGCUGGCUGCUUCCUAACAGGAGUGCAGGGGCCAUGGCCGUGACCCUAACCGUCUCCGUCCACUGCCCUCCCCGUGGCCGACCAGCGUGGGGAUGUGGGAUGGAGGCUGAAUGAGGACAGGGCUCAGACUCAGAGGUCUAAAGAUCCUUUGCCUGAGUUGCGAGUGGCUCCUUCAGAAGACAGAACUUGAAAAAAAUAUUAACAACUUUGGCCCAAAAUGAAGCUGGGAAGACAUGAAAAUGAAGCAAUAAAUGCUGUUAGAUGCCAAGUUCAGAAUUCAUCUGCUCCUGUUGAAGACCUCAUGGUGUUUGCAAUGCAAAUCUCAGAGUCAUGCCUUAAUCAUUACCGCAGGGAGACAAUUAGGGUUAAAAUAUAGAUUUCUAGAUAAUGAGGGCAAAUAAUA